rnacentral:tRNA from 1 species
GAGGGUAUAGCUCAGUGAUAGAGUCCACACCUAGCACGCAUGAGGCCCUGGGUUCAAUCCCCAGUACCUUCA